rnacentral:lncRNA from 1 species
CCUGCUAAAAUUAUACAAAGAUUUAACUUAUCCUGUUAUGGAAUUAUUUGUGAUUUAUGCCUUAGGAUACUUAAGCUACAGAAGGAUGAAUCAUUUCUAAGAUGGUUUAAAGUAAAACAGGUUAAAAAUAUCCUAUGUUAUUCAUAAACUCGCAUGAACUCUCAGUGAAAUAAACUGCUGCCUUCUCACCAUGCAAAUUGCUGUUGAAUUUGUCAAUAAAUUGCUCUUUAAAACGUGAAGCUACAUGCAAGCUCUCCUUUUUCGUCCAAGUAAGACUUAAUUCAGAAUGUAUCUACAGCCAGGUUUUCAUUGUGCUAUCUAAUGGACAUUGGUCUAGAUCUCAGUAGGCGGAAUGCUAAGACAACCCCGAGAUUCCCACACCACAUCUACCUGUCCUGUAUAAUCUCAAGACUCAAACUGUGAUAGACUUAUUCCCACAAUCAUGUUUGCGUGGCUUAACUGUCUUUUAAAAUGGGGAAGAUUAUUUGGGUAGGACCAACCUAACCACAAGACCCUUGAUAUUCAACUCAAGAAGUCACAGACAGGGUCACGGAGAGAUGUGAAGCAUGAGAGACUCCAUGUUUCAGGAGAUUCUCUCUAGCCAGCCCUGAGAACAAGUCAGAAAUCUCUCUGAGCUGAGAGGAAUGCUUCUCCUUGGCCCCAGCAAAAAGAGAUUAAGCAGGCACAGGAUUCUGUCCCCAAGGAAGUGAACUCUGUCAACAGUCUGAAUGAACUUCCAAGUAGAUUCUUGCCCGGGCCUCCAAAGGAGUUCCUAUCCAAUGUGGUGAAUUUUUUAGCGUUAUAAAAGCUGAAGUAGAAAACUCAACCACAUAUUGCAGGGCUGUGAGACACUAAAUGGGUGAGGUUCUAACCACUAAUUCAUGGUAAUUUGUUACAAUAGAAAAGGGAUGCAUUAAAGAAAACCCAAAAUAGAACACUGAAAACAAUCACAACUAUAUUACAUACUGGUCUUUCCAUAAAUCAACCUUGGAGGAGGAUAAACUUGAGGAUCCUGAGUAGGAAACUUCCUUCCAAGUACAACAUGUAAACUCUAAGCUACAGAAUGGGAAAAGAAAAUAAGCACGGCUUUAAAAUAGACCAGAUAGGUUCGAAUACAAAAGAAAGGGCUAGGUCUGCUUAUUCUGAAUGCCCAGCCUGCUGCUACAGCAGUUACUUCCUUACACACAGUUGCAUCUCCCUGGAGCCAGCAAGGCC